CUGCAUGGCUGUCGUCAGCUCGUGCUGUGAAGUGUUGGGUUAAGUCCCGCACGAGCGCAACCCUCGCUGCCUGUUGCCACCACGAGAGGUGGGGACUCAGGCGGGACCGCCGGUGACAAACCGGAGGAAGGUGGGGACGACGUCAAGUCAUCAUGGCCCUUAUGUCCUGGGCUACACACGUGCUACAAUGGCCGGUACAGAGCGCAGCGAGGCCGCGAGGCGGAGCGAAUCGCUUAAAGCCGGUCCCAGUACGGAUUGGAGUCUGCAACCCGACUUCAUGAAGUUGGAAUCGCUAGUAAUCGCGCAUCAGCAUGGCGCGGUGAAUACGUUCCCGGGCCUU
rnacentral:rRNA from 1 species